rnacentral:rRNA from 1 species
UACGGAGGGUGCAAGCGUUAUCCGGAUUCACUGGGUUUAAAGGGUGCGUAGGUGGGUUGGUAAGUCAGUGGUGAAAUCCCCGAGCUUAACUUGGGAACUGCCAUUGAUACUAUCAGUCUUGAAUAUUGUGGAGGUUAGCGGAAUAUGUCAUGUAGCGGUGAAAUGCUUAGAUAUGUCAUAGAACACCAAUUGCGAAGGCAGCUGGCUACGCAUAUAUUGACACUGAGGCACGAAAGCGUGGGGAGCAAACAGG